AUGUACAAGAAGAGCGGUCGAACUGACGUCCGUUCACAAGCGACACAAAAGCAGAAGAGCGUGAAAGAGAAAAGCGUCAGAAAUAUUUAUUCCCGGUCAUUAUAUACCAUGAGAUUCUGAUAGGGAUUUCUUUACACGUGUCGAUUUCACUAGUCUAAAGAUGAACUCCUGACACAAAUUGACGGAAAUGACACUUUCUAGGAGGCAUUCCUUUUAUCCGGACUCUCUUCUCUGGGCGUGCCUUGGGUGCCAAAGCUAUCUGGUAAUGACUCGCUUUCUUCUGAGAUGGAGCCUGGGGUGAAAAAAUGGCCGACGCCCUUUACUCUGUGUGAGAACAUUGUUAAGAAUACCGAAUGCUCGCAUCAAAGGAUUAAGUCUUAAAUGACCUUGACUCAUGAAGAAGAAAAACUUGAUUAAGUUAUUUCCUUUCAAAGGAGGACUUAUUUUAAUAUUCCAAUCUUUAUCUUAAAGGUGCUUAGAUAUUCUUUUUAUCUUCUCAGUUUCCCACGCAUUAUUGGGAGUUUAGCGAUAUGUGAUGUGCUAGGAUAGAACCACCGGAGUAUGAGAUGAUAUCGUCACUUUACCAGCAUAGAGUUAUCAAAAUUCAUAAAUAAAUUGCGUUUAGAAAAUUGGUGAACUUAUACUUGAAAACUUCGUAUAGUAUACAAAACAGACAGGGCCGAUUUAAAUCCCCAGGGCCUUUGUACAAUGCAUGUUCCAUUCUCCCUCCUCUACAUCUCAUAAUUCCCCAAAAUCGAUAUCCUUUAUUGAUUCUGUCUAGAAUAGGUUUUAAGAAUCAUAUUUUGAGAAACUGAUAUGAUAAAUAAUAAUUAUAAUUAAAUGCACACUACUUUCAAGAGAGUUUGUUCGCGCUUUUUCUUCUGUGCAAAAAUUCUAGAACCCAAAUUAUGCUUAUACAAAAGAACGAAAAAAUUUUUUAAAUAAAACUUUUUACACGUGAAGUUAUAGAGAAAAAAUAUUCUAAUCGUCAAAAAAAAAUUCGAACUCGCGAUUUCGAUGAAUCUCUACGGUUCAAAUAUCCGAAUUCAAAAAAAAUGUAUUUGACAUUAUGUCCCUCUCUAUGUCUAUAAACACAAUAAGAAAAAAAAAACGCUUUAACAUAAAUUUAAACUAGACGAAUUUAAAAUACAGUCUAAACUUUUAAUUUGUAUAUUCUAUUAAAUUUAGAACGAAAUUUAUUCAGAGUCUGCGUGUCUGCUGUCGGAAUAUAAGUUAACACAAUAGCUACAAAAUGGUGUUAACUAGAUAAAUAAAAUUUCAUGAACAUAUUUCACGUCUGAAGUGUAAGUCCAUAAAAGAUUUUAAACCAACCGUUUUCAGGUCUAUAUUUUCACGAUAAUUAAAACACGAUAAUUAAAAAAAUGCAACGCCUGAACUUCAGUAUAAAAAUUUAGCAUUUAAAAUAUAAAUAUUUGUCAACUUUUGAAUCAAAUUUGUGAAAGAGUAGGCGGUUUGUCCGUCUGUACUUUCGCAUGCAUGCAAAUCCGAUAACUCAGAAACACAAGAGCUUCUUAGAUGAAAGAUAUUUGAUGUGUGAUCAAGUUAAUAAAAUUGGUAACUUUAUGCCAAAUUUUCUAGUUUUAUUCAAAAA